GUCCCAAUAGCGCAAUGGAUAGUGUGUGUGCGUUGGACUUCUAAUCCAAAGGUUGUGGGCUUGAAUCCCUCCUGGGAUG